rnacentral:rRNA from 1 species
AUUGAACGCUGGCGGCAGGCCUAACACAUGCAAGUCGAGCGGAUGAAGGGAGCUUGCUCCUGGAUUCAGCGGCGGACGGGUGAGUAAUGCCUAGGAAUCUGCCUGGUAGUGGGGGAUAACGUCCGGAAACGGGCGCUAAUACCGCAUACGUCCUGAGGGAGAAAGUGGGGGAUCUUCGGACCUCACGCUAUCAGAUGAGCCUAGGUCGGAUUAGCUAGUUGGUGGGGUAAAGGCCUACCAAGGCGACGAUCCGUAACUGGUCUGAGAGGAUGAUCAGUCACACUGGAACUGAGACACGGUCCAGAGUCCUACGGGAGGCAGCAGUGGGGAAUAUUGGACAAUGGGCGAAAGCCUGAUCCAGCCAUGCCGCGUGUGUGAAGAAGGUCUUCGGAUUGUAAAGCACUUUAAGUUGGGAGGAAGGGCAGUAAGUUAAUACCUUGCUGUUUUGACGUUACCAACAGAAUAAGCACCGGCUAACUUCGUG